UUUAAACUCCUUAGAUUAAGUUUUCAAUAUGUUCUGCAGGUUUCAACACUGUGUUCAAGUAACUUCUUUCCUCUGUGACUUAAAUACUAGUCAUUUAAUAAUUACAUAUUCUACACAGCUCAAAAGUGGGGAAAAGGGAAAACAGGAGAAUAUGAUUUAUAGUUCCAGUGUCCAUAUACUUUAAGAACCUAUCUAAAUCCUCAACCUAGUACUUCGACUGUAUUUCUAUAAAAAGUGUAAGAUCUAUAUAAUGUUCUCUGUUUGUUUCCUGGGGAACAGUUGCUGUCUGUGGCUUUGUCUUCCUAUCAAGUACCUGAAUAUAGUCAAGUUAAUGAAAAUGUAGAUGCUAUUUUCAAAGAAAACACACCAAAAAAGGGGAUGGAAUGGGGCAUUAUAGCAGUCUUGGCUAUAUAUAUGGCCAUAUAUAGCAGUUUUACUAAAUAUUUUUUUUAUUGCAUAAUGCAACCAUCUUCUCAACUCAUACGUUUAUAAAAUACCUUUGUGGUCUCCUAUAAUACACAGAAAAUUGAACAAAGCUGCACAACACAAGCAAUCUAUAGCAAAUCUGACCUGUUGGGAGCUAUUUCUUGUAGAGACCAAACCCAAGCACACUCGAAUUUGAAAAUGAGGGUGCAACUUUACCAUGUACUGUAACACAGUCUAAGACAACUGGUAGCCUGAAGCACAAAAGUAUUCAGGAGCCAGUGGAUGCUGCCAUUAGUGCAACUCCAGAACAACAGAUGGUAUCACUGCAUCAUUGGCGUAUUCACACAGCUUCCACAAUGUUCCUCAAAAAAGCUCCUUGAGAACUAGGCAGACACUGUGACAACAGUUUGCCAGAAAAUUCUGCUUUCAUGGAAUUGUUUUAAUUCCUGGCAUAUGCCUGUUGAUAACCCAAGUGAUGGCCACUGAGACUACUUUGUAUAGCUCCUAGUGUUUCCACCAGAAAGAAAACUCUCUUUUGGAGCACAUGGUAGAGCUGCCUGCCUAGAGACUACAGCGGCCUUUAAAUAGACCCAGGGACCCCAUGGGACCCUGAUCCAGUCUCGGCUUUCUUCCUGUGCGAGGCACACAGACUACUCCUGACCCCAGAGUUGCUCCCUGUUUUCAGCUAAUGAGCUGUGAAGGGAUGGAGGGCAACAAAAUGUCUUCAGUGGUAACCAGGUGCAGCUGGUAGAAAUGGAACUUAGCAUUAGUAAAUGAUAAAAUAGAAGAAAUAAAAUAAAGCUUUUGCUUUUAUUUCUGUUUCGGAGGAUGUGAUAUGAAUCUAUAAUUGUAACCGUGAUUUACAUUUUUUUAAUCACCCUUUGAUAACAAUAUAUUCACCCCUAUGAACUAAUAACACAUGGAAUUACUAAUUAUAAUUGCUAAUAUAUCUUUACUGUGAAUAUUAUAGAUUGAUGCAUGCUGGUACUUUUGAUUUUGAAGUCACUUGGUGCAGAAAAGGUGAAAUUGAAAGAGACUGCUAAUAAAUCAUCAAAUGGUGCUAAGGAACUUGAAUAGUCCCAUUUUUUAAACUGACACAUGUCAUUAUUUGUAGUUUAAAUUGUCUAUGAGUACUCAUUUGAAACACUUUCAUCCGCCCAUGUAAAGGAAAAAGAAAGGAGAAUCUCUUGUAGCAGGGAGUUUGCUGUUUUACUGAGUAAAUAUUCAGACAUUACUUUUUGUGGCAGUCACGUGGUCACAUGUAUCAAGUUCUGUCCUUGGGAGGUUUUGAUGCAUUUGUUUUCUUCUUUUUUGGUUCCACAAAAGCUACAAGUCAAACUUGAAAAUGUAUUGACAAACCAAAGGAGUUUGUUGAGACAUUGACAAUAGCUGCUCUCUUUCGUUUUGUCAAAAGUCUACCGUGAUAUUUCGGGAAAAAUACUUCAUUCCAUAACACAUGUAUAGAAAUCCUGUUGGGAUGCAGAAUAUAAUCAAGUUUUGUUCCAAGUUAAUAAGACUUUGCUGGAAGAGGGGUUGAAAUUGAGUGUCUGAGGGCAAAAGUGUUUUAAAGUGCUCUCUAUAGCAAUAAUUUAAGUACAAAAUACAGCCUUCAGGCACCCAUUUAUUUAGAAGUUGCUAAGUGCAGGCAAUCUGUGACGACCCUUACCCGCUUACGGCAAAGAGAAAAAAAGGUCAAUCGUUAAUCAUAUCUAUGUACUGCAUUUGUCAGAAAAGGAAUUAACUUCAUGCUUGUUCAGCUUUCUAGUCUAAAAGGCAAUACUAUGAGGAGUAAGGUUUUUUGAGAUAUUUGAUCUCUAGGAACUGACAAAGAGCAUCAGCCUGUAGCAUAUAAACCUCUACUCAGACUUAGCUCACCAGCUACAUGUGCUAGUUUUCAUCUGGUAACCGAGAAACUGCAGGGUAGUUUUCCAUUAGAAAAUAUAACUCUCUUGAAUGGCUGUGCAUUUUAGCAUGAAAUAUAGAAUUAUUUACAAAAAACUAAAAAGGAAUGAGUAAUGAGUUCCAAUUAAUCUCUGCUUUAGUGUUUAAUAUCUCUGUAUUUUGGCUUUUUUUUUAUACCUGCUGCAAAGGAAUAAGUGUGGCUUUUAUCCACACACAGAAUGGAGUGAACAGUGAAAAAAGUGUGAAACACUGCUCUUUGAUUAUGAGAAUAGAUCCAACAGCACUGGAAAAUUUCAUUUUUCCAUACGUGAUUCAAAUACUUGUGAGUCUUUCCAAACACACUUAUUACACAAGAGGACAUAUUAGAAUUUUACAUUUUUAACCACAGAGAACUGGUCAAAAUGCCUGCCUAAGUUUUGUAAGUAGAAGAUAAUGACUGUGCAAACCACUGUAGUGACCUAACUUUAAAAUCAGAGGGCUGGAUAUAUGAAUUCUGCAGUUAUAACAUCUUGCACUACAUGAAGUGUGCUGUGUUUGUACUUGAUAGUAUAAAUAAAUGCUCUUCACUUUUUAUUUUAGAUAAAAAGGUGAGGUAUAUUGGAAACAAGGAUAAGCUUAUGGUGGAAUGAAAGAAACCACAAAGAAUAUUUACUCCCUUGUUGAAACAAGAAGUUUGUCUCCCUGUCCAGGUCCUUAAAAGACAGUAAAAGGUGAUGGGUGAAGGUCUUGUAUAUUCAGCAAUUAUUUAAAUUUCAUUGUACUUAGAAACCUAAAUAUUAGAAUCUGCUGGCAAACUGGUGCUAUUAAAGAAAAUGGAAGGUUCACUUUGCAAAGAUUUUUAUAAGUUUAUGCAACUUGACAGAUUUUUACAGACACAAUUAAAACACAUAUGAAAGUAACUGAGGUUUAAGUAUGAUUAAAUAGAAUUUAAGCAUUUGACAAUGUACAUAUUGUUAUGAAUAUUGCUAGCUGUAAUGGAGACAAUAUUUCCUUUUAAACUGAAUGCAAGCUCAAAAAGGAAUAGGUUCUCAAAUAGGAAGAAGUUAAUAUUUUUAAAAAUCACAUUUGAAGUUUCAAAGAAUUAAUUUCAUUGGGUUUAUUUGUUGCUUUGAUACAGAGAUCUUCAUGAGGUUCAACAGAUUUACUAUGUUCUCUUACAAUCCUGAGAUUUUCAAGUACAUUAAUAUAUUUUACAGUAGAUUUUUUCCUAUAAGAAUAUUUGACAUAAAUGAAGUUAAUUUUUAAUCAGCUGACACAUCAUUUUCAGUCUUUUCUAAAAAUUGUAUGAUAGCAAGUCAGAGUGGGCAUAGAAAAUAGCACAAAAUUAAUUGUCUGGUUUGGCCAUUCCAUACCAAUAACCAAAAUAAGGGUUUCAGUUAAAUUUUUAUUCUCAUCACUGCUCAUAUACUUAGAAUAAAUUAUAUAAAAUAAAAUUUUCCUUGUGGAUGUUAAUUGUAAUAUUUCCUGAGUUUCCAUAGAUGACAGGCUGUGACAGGAGAUAUCCAGAACUGCUUUUUUGAAAUUGUUCUGAUUUGAGAUGGUUGCAAGGAAAAACAGAAAAUACAUGGGAAAAUAAGUGUUAUGACUUCUUACCAAAGAAUGAUACAUGCUAACCUUUUAUUUCUUUGAAAAUCAUCAUUAUAGAAAUGUAGAGAAAUUUAUGAAAGGAGGUGAAAAAUGUGGCAAGAAAUCAACAAAAAUAAACCAUUCUGUAAUCUUUAAAAAGAUUAGGAGAAAUUGGCAAACACUUAAGCACACAGCAGUGGGCCAUGUUGAGCACAAAACACUUUCCCAUAGUAUUCAACUUCUUCUUCUCCUUCAUCAGAAACUGGAAACAAUGUCAUGUGUUCAGUUUGAUUCACAGCUCUACAUUACUCUGUACAAAGCAUGAUGGGCUCAUUUUCCCUAACUUGGCUGGAAGAACCAAGAACCAGUCUGCCUAACACUCAUUAUGCAGUAUAAAAAAACAGUAAUUUGCACAAUGUACCACCAGUGUUAUCACACAACUUUGUGGAACUCACUGCAGCCAGGUAUUGUCAAAAGUAUGAUUUAGAAUGUUUCACAGCUCAUUGAAUUCUGGGCAAUAUCUUCCUUUAUGAUCCAUAAAAAUACAUACAGAGGAGCUCAACCUUUUUUUCUUCUAAUUUCAAAAUAUUCUGACAGAGUUCUGUAGGGAGGUUCCUCCCAAUCUACUGUUGUUGGGUAAAUUAUAGACAUUUCAAAGAAAAUAAUAAAUAUCUGCUUAAGACAGGUUUAUUUCAGAGGGAAAAAAAAGAGAUAAAUUUUAAUACAUGCAAAUAUUUCUAACAUAUACAAAUACACAUAUAAACAUCAGCACAAACAGAAAAGUAUUGAAAAAAAGAAAGAUACUGUGCUUUUCUUUAUAUCUUAGUAUGAUAAACUAUUGAUCACUUAAAUAUUUUUUUUUAUUUACUGGUUAAUGCUACAAAUUAAUUGCUUAGUGUAACAAUCUAAUUGAAUAAACUGUUAAGACAGGUGUUAAAUACCCUUUGGAACCACUGAGAUGCUUUUUUUCUAAAACUGCAAAGUUGUCUUUAUAAGUAAGCAUAAGAUUAGAAGAAAUAUGUCAGCCAUGGCAGUAAUUAAUAUUAAUUAUUUUAUCUAGCUAUACAGGCUAACAAUGUGGAUAGUGUGGAAAUAAUCUUUUGAAACUUGUGUUAGAUAGCUUUGUGCAUUUCCUUUAGUAUUUCUACGUUUAGCUCAAACAUUAUAUCCUAAGUUAUAUGUAGAGAUAUAUAACUGUAAGACUAUAGCACAGAUAGUAAGGUAAAUCUACAGUUUAAUGAAUCAGGCUUAACCAGGGCCAAGAAAUUAGUCAGAGCAGUGGCAGUAGUCAGUCCUGUGGCAUGGUGGCAGCCUGCCCCAGUAGUAUCUGAGCACACACAGCUGAGGCUAUCUCAGUAUUCCUGAGGCUUCCCUGCUUUAAAGGACACGUUGGCAAACUCAUCACUCGGUUAUCCUGUGGUUCCCAUGGCUCAUCCUCUUCUCAUAACUCUCAAUGCAUUGACUUGAAAAGAGCAGCAACAAAAAAGGUAUGAACAAAAGCAGAGACAAGGAACCUCUUGGUGGAAGAGAGUCCUACCAAGCCCUGCAGGCUCUUCUUCAUCCUAGAAAUAUGAGCUGUUGCUGUGCAGGAGCCCACCUUCAAAGGGCAGGGGAGAGAGCAUGCUUACCUGUCUUAAUGCAGGCUGGGAGAGAACUGGGAGGGGUCUCCCAUUACCUGAGUGAUUUGGCAGGUAUGACACUGGAUGAACCAGCAUUUCAUGUGGCAGUGAAAAGCCUGGUCCAGUUUAAUGUUUGGAAGCUGUGGGUCUCUAGCCUCUCUAUCUUUUGCCUGAGAUAUCACAGGAGCAGUGGUCACCCUGAGCCCACACAUACCCUGACACCACAUCUCAGCAAGACACAGCUGUGACAGUAUGUCUUAUCCCUAGCCCAACACGGUUCUCCAGGAAUGUGUGUGUUUUGGAAAUGUCUUUUAUGUUGUCUUGCUUACACCUUGAACAAUACAGUCUGAGAACUUGGCAGGCAGCUUCUACUCCUAGGGUCUGCAGCCUAAAAGAACAUUUUAGCACCUAUCUUGUAGACAGAAAAGCUGGUUUUGGAAGUAGCCCUUAGUGUAAGACUUACAAAGCUGUUCAGAGGAUUAACUCCUAUUGAGCAUCUCAGCUUUGAAGGAAAUUGCACUAGGGAGUACUCACUGAGGCAGAGCUUCAGCUACUGUAAAUAAAUACCAUUGAUUUGGGCUUUCACAGAGCUCCAUAACAGAAUAUAUUUAAAGGAGCAUGAUGAACAUAUUUAAAAGUAAAUUUGAAAAAUCAGAGUCCUUGUGCCCUGACAUCUCUAUAAAUACAAAAAUAAUAAUCAUCCUCUGAGGACCUCCUUAAAAAAAAAAAAAACCACACAAAAAAGCACACACACAAACAAACAAAACCAAAAAAACCCCACCCCUAGAAAUGAAACUGCUAGUGAGAUCAAUCCUCUGAACAAUCCUUUGAAUAUUAAAUCUUUCCUUUUUCUGAAGUAAGCUUCUUAUUUGGAACCCUCAGGAGUAAACUAGCAAAUGCUGGUAGCAGCUAUAUUUCAAGUGUUCUGCCCGCUGUGUUUCCUUGGUCCUCUCCUCCCAUCCCCUAGUCCUGCAAUAAGACCUGGAGAGGAGGCAGGUGGUUAAAUUGCGCAGUAUAGUUAGAACAAGUUCUUUCUGAGCAUGCCUAACAGAGAAGGUGGCUGGGAAUUUAGGUCAGCUGGGGGUCAUAAAGAGGGUUAAUUGCUGAACUAGCCUGCCAGAAGUAGGGGUGUGGAAGAGUCCAGCUGCUUGUGUUCCUUGGUGGGCCCAGCCCUUAGAAUAGCCUGUUUCCUCACUGAAACGUUGUUUUACCCCAAGACACACAGCCAAGGGAGAGGAGACUAGCAAAAGGAGCAGUAUCAUGAACAUAUUACAGUCAGAGAAGUUCUUUAAGGUAAUGUAUACGAAAUGAAUAAAGAAAACAACUUUCCCCUUCCUUCACAGACUGGGAGUUUUCGUCCUGUUGAUCUGAACUCUGGUGACUGCCUUUCCUACAUUCAGAAGUCUUUUUCAAAGAGAUGUGAGCUUACACCCUUUAAAGACUUAGUUGUACUAUUGAUCAUUGAAUAUUCCUUUGAACAUUGAAUUAAAACAUUUCCCUUUUUGACCCAAUGAAAAGGAUUCUUUUUAUUAUUAUGGAAAAGGUUUUACUUUUCUUUAAUCUCAUAUAUUCAUUUUCAAAUCACAUAGAUGGUAGUUAACCUAAAAUACCUUUCAAGGUAUUCAACACUCACUGUUUUAAUGACAAUAUAUUUUAUUACAUUUAUUUCUUUCCAGCACAGUUUCUAAGACCUUAAAAAAAUCCGCAGAACUGUUUUACAGUUUAGAUGGUUUGCUGAGCUGAUUGCUAUCCAUGAUUAUGUCAUGUUGCUUCACUGAUUCUUUUUUCCUCCCUCUUAACUAUUUGAGUGAGUGGUACAGCAUGAAAUAGCAUAGUAACUGUUCAACAUUAAAAUUUCCAAAUUACAGUCGAUGGAGUUUAUUCAAAAGAAAUUUUAAAAAUUCCAAAAGGAAAGGACAAAUCUGUAGGAAAUGUUGA
ensembl:lncRNA